rnacentral:lncRNA from 1 species
CCAAAUUUGAUAUUCAAAUACUAUCUGUUACCAUCCAAUCAGGUUGGAAGUGGAAACAAACAGAUUUUAUCACACCUAUGCAGGUAAGGGUUGUUACAGCUCUUAUCCAAUCAUUUCAAAUAGGAGGAUCGAAGCACAUAGCUCCUCUAUACGAUCCACUCAAUGGAACAAGAGGUUAGUGCUUAACAUAUGAUCUAUUUUUCUCUUACUUGUUUACCGAUCAUGUAUAUAUAUCGAUGUUGUUGAUUGAUUUGCAUUAAAUUUUUGUUAAAGGAUAUGGUAGGUCACUUUCUUGUAGCAGCAUAUGAAAUGAAAGGAGAUUCUGGUUGCAGUCCUAAUUAUUUCUAUGAUCUGUUUUCCACCUUCGUGGCUGAAUCUAAAAUCACCU